rnacentral:rRNA from 1 species
CCUACGGGAGGCUGCAGUGAGGAAUAUUGGUCAAUGGGCGGGAGCCUGAACCAGCCAAGUCGCGUGAGGGACGACGGUCCUAUGGAUUGUAAACCUCUUUUGUCGGGGAACAAAGGCGUCCACGGGUGGGCGGAUGAGUGUACCCGAAGAAAAAGCAUCGGCUAACUCCGUGCCAGCAGCCGCGGUAAUACGGAGGAUGCGAGCGUUAUCCGGAUUUAUUGGGUUUAAAGGGAGCGUAGAUGGGUUGUUAAGUCAGUUGUGAAAGUUUGCGGCUCAACCGUAAAAUUGCAAUUGAUACUGGCAGUCUUGAGUACAGUUGAGGUAGGCGGAAUUCGUGGUGUAGCGGUGAAAUGCAUAGAUAUCACGCAGAACUCCGAUUGCGAAGGCAGCAUACCGGCGCCCGACUGACGCUGAGGCACGAAAGCGUGGGGAUCGAACAGGAUUAGAUACCCUUGUAGUC